AGUGAACGCUGGCGGUAGGCCUAACACAUGCAAGUCGAACGGCAGCACAGUAAGAGCUUGCUCUUACGGGUGGCGAGUGGCGGACGGGUGAGGAAUACAUCGGAAUCUACUUUUUCGUGGGGGAUAACGUAGGGAAACUUACGCUAAUACCGCAUACGACCUACGGGUGAAAGCAGGGGAUCUUCUGACCUUGCGCGAUUGAAUGAGCCGAUGUCGGAUUAGCUAGUUGGCGGGGUAAAGGCCCACCAAGGCGACGAUCCGUAGCUGGUCUGAGAGGAUGAGCAGCCACACUGGAAGUGAGACACGGUCCAGACUCCUACGGGAGGCAGCAGUGGGGAAUAUUGGACAAUGGGCGCAAGCCUGAUCCAGCCAUACCGCGUGGGUGAAGAAGGCCUUCGGGUUGUAAAGCCCUUUUGUUGGGAAAGAAAAGCAGCAGGUUAAUACCCCGCUGUUCUGACGGUACCCAAAGAAUAAGCACCGGCUAACUUCGUG
rnacentral:rRNA from 1 species